GACGAACGCUGGCGGCGUGCUUAACACAUGCAAGUCGAACGGAAAGGCCCUGCUUUUGUGGGGUGCUCGAGUGGCGAACGGGUGAGUAACACGUGAGUAACCUGCCCUUGACUUUGGGAUAACUUCAGGAAACUGGGGCUAAUACCGGAUAGGAGCUCCUGCUGCAUGGUGGGGGUUGGAAAGUUUCGGCGGUUGGGGAUGGACUCGCGGCUUAUCAGCUUGUUGGUGGGGUAGUGGCUUACCAAGGCUUUGACGGGUAGCCGGCCUGAGAGGGUGACCGGCCACAUUGGGACUGAGAUACGGCACAGACUGCUACGGGAGGCAGCAGUGGGGAAUAUUGCACAAUGGGCGGAAGCCUGAUGCAGCAACGCAGCGUGCGGGAUGACGGCCUUCGGGUUGUAAACCGCUUUCGCCUGUGACGAAGCGUGAGUGACGGUAAUGGGUAAAGAAGCACCGGCUAACUACGUG
rnacentral:rRNA from 1 species